AAUGAUAGAUUCAAUAAUAAUUCUAGUUUCAAACUUGGAUCUACAAAGUAAGUCAUUAAAGUGUUGGUGCUGGUGAGAAUGGUGUAGGAUUGAUACGGUGGGUGGAUUGUAGAGGUAAGCCAAAAGACCGAAUUGAAUUUGGAAUUAUGGGUAUUUGGCUUUUGGUUAUGAUUUCUACUCAGAUACCGAUUUACCGUGAAUAGAUUUGGGUUUUAAUUUUGUGGAAGUGGCUCCAAUUCUACCUUCCAAUCAAAUUGUGGGCAAAGAAGAAAUGAAGAGGCUGUUUGGUGGUUGUUUUCUUUUGGGAACUUCAAGUAAUUAUUUAAGCUUAAUCAAAAUAAUUUCAGCUCCAGAAGGAAAAAUUAAAAUUAAGAAGGCCAAGCAAAGCAAGAACUAGUUAAGAUCGAUGCUGAUUCUUAUUUUCCAGGAGAGUUGUCGAAUCCCGUCAUUCCUAAAGGGUCGCCUGAAAUUCUUUGCAGGCAUCGUCCAUGCGAUGUGACGGCAUCUUGUCUCUUUGUGCAAUAAUUUACACAAUCCUUGGGGGAUUCUGGGACUUCUGAAGUCCUGUGACGUUUGAUUUGAGUAUUUAAUUAUUAAAAUGCAAUGGUUUCAGUCAUGUGAUUGUUAUAGAAAUUGUAAAUUAUGUUCGAGGGAAGUUGGCCUAACACCUGAUAGCGGGCCCAAUUGGGUGAAGCACCUAUACUAGAUUGUAAUUUAGGUCAUCAAUGGCCCAAAUAUAAAGAUCCAAAUCCCCUUUACUCUC